rnacentral:rRNA from 1 species
AACGUAGGUGGCGAGCGUUAUCCGGAUUCAUUGGGCGUAAAGAGCUUGUAGGUGGUUCUGUAAGUUGGACGUGAAAACUCUGGGCUUAACUUGGAGAGGCCGUUCAAUACUGCAGGGCUAGAGGAUGUCAGAGGGGAGUGGAAUUCCUGGUGUAGCAGUGAAAUGCGUAGAUAUCAGGAGGAACACCCGUGGCGAAGGCGGCUCCCUGGGGCAUCCCUGACACUGAGAAGCGAAAGCUAGGGGAGCAAAC